rnacentral:rRNA from 1 species
AAAUUGAAGAGUUUGAUCAUGGCUCAGAUUGAACGCUGGCGGCAGGCCUAACACAUGCAAGUCGAACGGUAACAGGAAACAGCUUGCUGUUUCGCUGACGAGUGGCGGACGGGUGAGUAAUGUCUGGGAAACUGCCUGAUGGAGGGGGAUAACUACUGGAAACGGUAGCUAAUACCGCAUAAUGUCGCAAGACUAAAGAGGGGGACCUUCGGGCCUCUUGCCAUCGGAUGUGCC